ensembl:lncRNA
CAGUUUGAGUGUGUGUGCGCAUCUAAUGUGUCAUACAGACCGACAGACAACAGCAUACAAACUUUUUAGCUAUGUGCAAUCUGUGGCUUCUGCGUAAAACACUUCGUUAUGCUGUCGCCACUUCUCAACAGUCUUCUAACCAUACAAACCCUCUGUACCACAUUUAUUGGUGCAACAACUAUUAGAGCAACAAAAGGUCAUCCUGUCUAUCUCCCCUGUCCCACAAACAUUCAACCUGAUGAGGUGGUCCUUUUUAAAUGGACACAGUUUGGAGUUCCUGGAAUUUCUUGCGAAUAUACAAUUAAUAAAAACUACACUGAAAACCAAAAAUGUAAACCAGAAUUCAACAUCAGGGGACAACCUCCCAGACUGUAUGUUGAAAACCCAGGGAGUAGCGAUUCUGGUCUUUACAUUUGUUUCACAACAAGAAUAGUGCCGCCACCCACCAUCGAGUUAAAUUACACAGUUGAUCUUCAAGUUACUGGCCCUCCAAAUAUAGUCCUAAAGAAGCAGAAGAGAAAUACUACCUGCGUUGAACUGCUUUGUAGUACAGAGUACCUUGACCCUGAGGAGGUCAAAUUUACAUGGAACCGAACACGUCAGGGAUUACCAGAGACACUGUUGACCACAAAAAGCCUCUUCUAUAUGAACAGCUCUCUGCCACUGUGUCAAUCCGACUGGAGAGAGGGCGACAUAUUCACCUGCAUUGUCAACCGCUUAGUCAAUGACACCAACCUGAGCGAGGAAAUCAGAAUAGACUGCAGUGAAAUAGAAACCUGCCGUUGGAACCCCACUCCUUUGGUCAUCAUCUGUGUGAGCUCACUCAUUGGGGUAGCAGCCAUCACAGCAGUAACCCUAACCAUUUAUAAAUGUAAGUCUUAUAUUUUAGGGUGAUUUUUCUUUGGACAAUACAUUCACAAUAUGGCUGUUUUGUUCACACAUAUAUUUCACCAAAUUAAGUUCUGUAGUCACGUUUGAAUCUUUUAGGCAACUCUCAAGUCAAUCUGACCUUGUAACCAUUUCAAUUUCAAAUGAAUUGUAGGUAAUGUGAUUUGUUCUUUGAAUUCCCUGUGAUCUGUAUCAACCCAAAUUACUGUGUUUUUAUUUAAGUCACCUGUUUUGUGCACCCUGAAGAAGGCAUGUGAGACAACUCAUUUGUGCUUUUUAUUGUCAUGAUAUUACAUUAAAGGCUUUUUUAUCAUAAUCGUAUCGUAUGGUUAGAAGGUUAUGUCUAAAGAUUCAAUUGUCAUCUAAUUAUCUAACCUACUGUCCACUGACCACCUCUCCUACUACACCUGAUGCCAAAGCAGCACUCUUCCUUCUCUGCACUCUAUAUGACCAUAUAACAUGUUGGUUUCCUUAACCUCUCUUAGACAGAAUAUAUAAACAUAAAUAGUGCCAUAAUGUUAUGGAAAUUCUUGAACUAAUGUACAUUUGAGAAAUGUCUGCUUUACUAUUACCUGGUGUUUUUCUGACAUGUCUGCAGUGGAUCAUUAUGACCUCUGACCAUCUGUUAACCUGCCCAAACCAAUAAGAGUAUCUGUCCAUUGUUCUUCAGGAAUGUGGUUGACUGUCUGUACGAUGUUCCCUACCCCCGUGACAAUAAACACCUGGGGCAGGAAGGAUAAGGUGGGGGGGACAGUCGGUCCUUUGGGUAAAACCUAUGUGACAUAAGAGAGCAGGGCAGUAUCUUACCAGAGCUCUUGUCAAUUGUAAUAAAUACUUUGACUGGACUGUGUUUCCUCGGAGAUUCCUCACAGGCCUGUUAUGAUGUGUCCUAAACCUCUCUCUAUUUGCAAAUAAACUUAAUCGUGCAA